AUUCUGGCUCAGGAUAAACGCUGGCGGCGUGCUUAACACAUGCAAGUCGAACGGAGUAUUCUCCCGAGACCGAGGAAGCUUGCUUCCAAAGAAUCAUUUGAAGUACUUAGUGGCGGACGGGUGAGUAACGCGUGGGUAACCUGCCUCACACAGGGGGAUAACAGUUGGAAACGACUGUUAAUACCGCAUAAGCGCACAGUAUCGCAUGAUACAGUGUGAAAAACUCCGGUGGUGUGAGAUGGACCCGCGUCUGAUUAGCUAGUUGGUGAGGUAACGGCCCACCAAGGCGACGAUCAGUAGCCGGCCUGAGAGGGUGUACGGCCACAUUGGGACUGAGACACGGCCCAAACUCCUACGGGAGGCAGCAGUGGGGAAUAUUGCACAAUGGGGGAAACCCUGAUGCAGCGAACCGCCGCGUGAGCGAUGAAGUAUUUCGGUAUGUAAAGCUCUAUCAGCAGGGAAGAUAAUGACGGUACCUGACUAAGAAGCACCGGCUAAAUACGUGCCAGCCGCUGC
rnacentral:rRNA from 1 species